AGAGUUUGAUCCUGCUCAGGACGAACGCUGGCGGCGUGCUUAACACAUGCAAGUCGAACGGGGUAUGCGAGGAGCUUGCUUUGAGCAUACUUAAGUGGCGGACGGGUGAGUAACGCGUGAGUGAUCUGUCCUAUACAGGGUGGACAACAGAUGGAAACGUCUGCUAAUACCGCAUAAGCCUAAGUGGUAAAAGGAGAGAUUCGGUAUAGUGAGGAACUCGCGUCUAUCAGCUAGUAGGUGAGGUAACUGGCUCACCUAGGCGAAGACGGGUAGCCGGCCUGAGAGGGCGAACGGCACACUGGAACUGAGAUACGGUCCAGACUCCUACGGGAGUGCAGCAGUGGUGGAAUAUUGGGCAAAUGGGGGAAACCCUGACCCAGCGACGUCGCGUGAGUGAAGAAAUCCCUCGGGAUGUAAAAGCUCUGUUGUACGGGAAGAGAAGCAGACGGUCACCGUACGAGGAAGCCCCGGCAAACUACUGUUGCCAGCAGCCGCGGUAAAUACGUAGGGGGGCAAGCGUUUGUCCGGAAUUUACUUGGGCCGUAAGCGCACGCAGGCGGCCAUCCAAGUCGGUUUGUAAAGGCAGUGGUCAAUACUUGUAAGAAGGGCGAUACUUGAUGAGCUAGAGUAUGUUGAGAGGGAAGCGGAAUUCCCGGUGUCGGUGAA
rnacentral:rRNA from 1 species